ensembl:processed_transcript 1700066O22Rik RIKEN cDNA 1700066O22 gene
UCCCUCAAAACAUCUCACAAGUCAGAUGCAGGCAUGAGGACAGAUGGAGAAACAUCACAGAGCCGUCAUUUCUGGAAAUUGACUCAACACAGGGGAUCUCAGCUGACAGAGCUGGUAUUCGAGCUAUGCAUUCCAGCUCCCUAACACAGGCUUGAGCAGGUCUAACAUCCUGCUGUUCCUGUUUCCCAUUUCAUUAAAACCCACAUAGUGGUUCCCAUGGGCUGAGGCUCACAUGUAGAUGAUGGUUCGUAACAUUUUAUGAAAGGAAGGUCAACCCAGAAAUGGUUAGCACGAGGCAUUAAAUACUUAAGGAAGCAUGCAAAGGCUGAUGUAGCAGGAUGCUGACCAACAUAAUGUGUGUCCCCCUAGAUCAUCAGCAGAUAAUUGAGUGGUUGUCUACUGGGAAAGAAAUGCAUUGACUGAAAUAUAUUUCAAACAACACAAUAGGAAGCAUCAUGGAACUACUCAAAUGCUAAUUCCUAUUUGUAUUUAUUGCCAUGAAACUAUGCCUGUCAUAUAUUUUCAAAUAAAACAAACUACAAAAACCAUGU